rnacentral:tRNA from 1 species
GGGCCCGUAGCUCAGUUGGGAGAGCGUCUCGUUCGCAAUGAGAAGGUCGUCAGUUCGAUUCUGAUCGGGUCCACCA